rnacentral:lncRNA from 1 species
ACACUUCUGCUAAGAAGAGAGUUAUGGCAAGUACAAGUUGCUGAGAAAGAAGCAAACUGCUCAUUUGGAUGAAGGAAAUUAAUUCUUUGAAGCCAUCAAAGAUUCCUGCAGCUUUGAGAAUAGUUUGGAAAUAUUAUUCUUGCCUCCUAUGGUCAUCCUGUUAUUCAUCAGCAGAUGCUACUGAUCCAACAGCUUCCCAGCUAAGAUGGAAGGAUGAGUAAGUGGUUGGAGAAGCCAUAUUUUUGUCUUUUCUACACAAAUUCACAGGGAGGAGUGUUUGCUUUCUCUUCCUCCCUUCAGGUGUGGGCUUCAAUGUUUUGGGGCUGUCUCUGGAGAAGCCUGGGAAGUUAAAAUGCCUUAAAAGCAAGAUGUCCAAAAGCCAUAGGGGAUACAUAUUAUCAACUGCAGGAUGAAAAAUGCUUUUGCAAACCUGCAGCAGUUAAGGAUACAAAAUGAUCUAGGACUUCGAAAUAAUACAGCUAAAUCAACAAGCAAAUGUUAUUCUUAGUGUCUGGCAAUUACAGUAAGGCUUUUUUUUCAUUGUUUAACCACAUUGUUUAAUCAAUUUUCAUUGUUUAAUUGCAUUGUUUAAUCACAUUGAUACAUAUAUAUAUAUAUAUAUAUAUAUAUAUAUAUAUAUAUAAAAUGUUCUUUGCUUUAAUACUGGUGUUGAUUAAAGUGGGAAAAUGUCUAUUGAAUGAAGAUGUCACCUGAAACCAGUCCUCUUUAUAAAGUUAGAUAUCUCACAGAAAUCUUCCAAUCAAUAUGGCUGGCAAUGAGACCCAUAAUCCAAACUCUGUGAUCACACAGCACACCCUCGUCUGAAAAUAUUUUAUGACAGCAGUAACAGAGCCAAGCACCAGGUCUCGAAGGUCUUAUUUUCUGACUCUACGUUCCAUGGAAAUACCUGGACUAGCUAUUCCAAAAUCUCCCCCUAUGCUGUGGCAGCUACUUAUGAAAGCCCUGGGGAUCCUCACGCCAAAGAUUCUGAUUCAGUAGGUUUAAGGUGGGGACAGAGAAAUUUGUAUUUCUGUCACCCAAAAUUGAGGCUGUCACCCCUAAACUACCACUAUUCAUAUAAAAGUGUGCAUUAAUAAUAAAAAAAGAUUGGCUUCAUUAUUGAAAUAAAAAUCAGAGGCGACUACUCAUAGGAAAUCCAAUCUGCUCAGAGGUAAUAAAAUAAAACAGUUAAGUUAUAUUAGAUUUAAUUUCCCCCUUACCUCUGGAUGCCGU